rnacentral:rRNA from 1 species
UACGUAGGGGGCAAGCGUUGUCCGGAUUUAUUGGGCGUAAAGAGCGUGUAGGCGGCCAAGCAGGUCCGCUGUGAAAACUCGAGGCUCAACCUCGAGACGUCGGUGGAAACCGUUUGGCUAGAGUCCGGAAGAGGAGAGUGGAAUUCCCGGUGUAGCGGUGAAAUGCGCAGAUAUCGGGAAGAACACCGGUGGCGAAGGCGGUCUGCUGGGCAGUAGCUGACACUGAGGCGCGACAGCGUGGGGAGCAAACAGG